GUCGAACGCUGGCGGCGUGCUUAACACAUGCAAGUCGACACGAGCGGCUGACGGGUGAGUAAUUCGUGGGUAACCUGCCCUCCUUCUUGGGCUAAGCUUUGGAAACGGGGUCUACUCCCGAAUAAAGGGGGAUGGGGCCGCUGCCUUUCAGCUUGUUGGUGGGGUGAUGGCCUACCAAGGCGGUGACGGGUAGCCAGCCUGAGAGGGUGACCGGCGACAUAGGGACUGGGAUACGGCCUAGAGUCCGACGGUGGGGAGCAGUGGGGAAUAUUGCACAAUGGGCGAAAGCCUGAUGCAGCGACGCCGCGUGGGGGAUGAAGGCUUUCGGGUUGUAAACCGAGGUCGCGAACGAACGGGUAGGUGGAGAAGAAGCGCCGGCUAACUACGUGCCAGCAGCCGCGGUAAUAC
rnacentral:rRNA from 1 species